UGUUGGUGCUGAGCAGCUUUGCUCUUCCUGUUUCCCCUGCAGGUAAAGGUAGCUGUAGCUGCAUCUGCAUGUUCUGGCUGGACAAACUGGUUCCUGAGAACCUCCAUGGGAGUCCUGAGAGCCUUCAAUGUGUUCUGGGUGGUGACGUCCUGAUGGCGUGGGAGUCCAGUCAGGGGCCUCCUGCAGGUUAAUUAUUGAUCAGUCAUAUAAAGGUGCAGCAGAUCUUUGACCUCCUACAGAUUAAUAUCUGCAUGGAUUGAAAGGAUUCAGAGUGAUGGCAGCUUGGAGACUCAGAGGACUGAUGAGGGACUCGAGGCUUUUCUUUCACUGGUGCUGGAGGACAAAACUUUCGGAGUGGGCCUUGCCUCUGAUGGGAAGAGAGCCUUUAUAGUCGGACGCUCCCGCCCAGCUAGGAACUUCACCAGUGACUUGGAGAAAAAUGUCCUACCAAAAGUCUCCACAACACCAAGAAGAUCUGCAGGUAUUCGUCUCUUGACCCGACAGAACAGCAAACAUGCAUCUUCUACAAUAAACCGAUGCAUCAUACAUGGAGGUUCAGCCUUUCUUUGCUUGUUUUGCUGAUGAGAUCUUUAAGAAGGAGUUCCCAGAUUCACACAACGCCUACAGGACGAUGGAUGGAGCGCCUCCUCUGGUCCUAAAUGCUGAAAUGUGUGCUGCAGGCCAGAGGUUUGCAGAUACUGCAUUACGUGGGACUCCUGUCCGGGACCAGAGCAGCACAGCUGAAUGGACAUGAGUCUGUUUAGAGCAGGGUCCAGAAAGAGUCUGGUGGCAACAUCAGAUAAACCAAACUCUGCCUGGACCCACGCCGCAGACAUGAAGCUGUAGAACAAUCAUCACUUAGAACCUUCAACGAGAGCUCAGGGGGAUCUAGAAGACAACUCUGGGAGCUAAUUUGAGCUACAAUCAUGGUGGCAUAAACCAAGGUGAUGCUCUGUCUCUGCUAAUGUUCUGGAUAGCUCUGAAUCCGUUCAGUCAGAUCAUCACAAAGAGCGAUGGAGCCACCAUCAGUCAUCUUCUCUGCAUGGAUGACAACAAGCUGCAUGCCAGUGAGGGAGACAUCGAUCCAUUGAUCCACCUAAAUGCAGCAAGGACACUUGAAUGUCAUUCAGACUAGAUGGUAUCCAAGGGGGUCAAGGUGAUUUCUACCAAAGGGCUGGAACCACCAAAAGGUCACAUUGCAGACGUUGAAGACCGCUACAAAUACCUUGUAAAGACCAUCUGCAACCUUGAUUUGGCCACAAGUACGUGUGAAAUCAAGCUGAAUGGUAAAACCAUCUAUACCUUCACCCUUCCGGUUAUCAGAUACCACGCAGGAGUGCUAACAUGGACAUAGGAGGAGAUAGAAGCCACCAGUGUCAGGACAAGGAACCUCCACACAAGGCAUGGAGGGUUUCACCCAAAGUCCAGCACCCUGAGACUAAGAUCCUGGAAUACACCACAAAGAUGUCUCAGGCAACAGAAACCCAAUGAGCAAAAGCCCCUGCAUGGCGUGUACCUCCAAAAGAUUGAAGAUACGGCUGAUCUGGACUCAAGAACAACUCAGGGGCUUGGAUCAUGGCAGCACAGGAACAGAGAAAGAAAGGCCAGAGUCUUCCAAACCAGACAGAACUCCAGAUCCAGACUGUGGGAAGAUGCCCCUAAGGCAGUCCAGUACCUUCCAGCUGGGUGCAAGAUACUGGGAGCUAAAGCGAACUUCAAUCAGCAUACCCAGGUGGUACAUCUGGUCUGAGUAAAGGUCAGAGGUCCCCUCAGUCAUGUAGCAACUCCAAGCGGCAGAUACAUCAAGAAGAAUGAACACCAGAAGCUGAAGAGAUACCAGGGGCUCAGAGAGGAAAUGGAGAGGUUGUGGAGAGUCCAGUCCUCAGCGGUGCCAGUGGUCAUCGGUACACCUGGAGCUGUAAACUGGAGAAGUGGCUGCAGCAGGUUCUACAAAUAAACCCUCUGAGAUGUUGUCCAGUGGAGUCCUAGGAGCAGCUAAGAUGCUGAUCAGAGUCAAAAGAUGCUAGAACAUUUUAAAAGGUAUAGCGGCAACGGUUUAACUUUUCAAAAUCGAAACUUUUCUCAGUUAUCAAAGGACAAAUAAAUGCUCUUCAGCUUUUCACGUGUUUCUAUUGGCGUCUUCAUGAUUUAUCUUUGAUGAGCUCCAAGUCUUUCACUAACGGGCCGAGACCAACCUGUGGUGGAAUCUGACCUCACUGACCUUCAACAAAGUGUUACUGAUGGUCUGACCCCCUCCUUUCAGGGCGGAGCCUGCUGGAGUCGAUGGCUGACCCCAGGUCAGUGCGUCUCUCAUACGAUUCAUAUCAACAAGGAAGCUGUGGUGCUGUUUUUGGAAAGAAAGGAGGAUUUAACGAAAAUCUAAAUUCAAACUGGUUUUAGCAUCUGUGCUAGUCUGAACACACCUUGAUCAUGGAGCCCUUCCCUCACAUACCCUCAGACAACCAUGGUGUCCACCCAUUUGAUUCUCCAGCUGUUACCACAGACCUGAUUGGCUCUUCCUGGUUCUUCGGUGGUGCUUCAAUCCCAAGUAGUCCCAUGCUGCCAGUCUGUUUCCCUGGCAACACUCCCUUCCUGUGCUAAAUGCUAAACUCUUUUCAGCUUGGUUGAACUUUUCCCACCUAACGUUGAGACUCUGCAGGUUCGCAAAGAUCCUGUGGACUGAGCCCGAGAAGUGAUUGGUGGUUCUCUGAGUGAACAGCCAAUCACAGUUCUGAAUUUAAUGAAUAAAUAUGACUAAAUCAGUCCUUGGAAGACAUAACGAGGAGCCCCAGCUGCACAAUUUUGAUGUCAUCCACAACUGGGAGGAAAGUCCAACUGUCAGGUUUAAACAACCUAAAAUACUUAUAACAUCACAAAAAAAAGAGAGAGACAAAGAAUUAAUGAUAUA